rnacentral:rRNA from 1 species
UACGGGGGGGAGCAAGCGUUGUUCGGAUUUACUGGGCGUAAAGGGCGCGUAGGCGGUCAGCACAAGUCAGUUGUGAAAUCUCCGGGCUUAACUCGGAAAGGUCAACUGAUACUGUGCGACUAGAGUGCGGAAGGGGCAACUGGAAUUCUCGGUGUAGCGGUGAAAUGCGUAGAUAUCAGGAGGAACACCGGUGGCGAAGGCGCCACUCUGGGCCGAAACUGACGCUGAGGAGCGAAAGCGUGGGUAGCAAACAGG